rnacentral:rRNA from 1 species
UACGUAGGGUGCGAGCGUUGUCCGGAAUUAUUGGGCGUAAAGGGCUCGUAGGCGGUUUGUCGCGUCGGGUGUGAAAACCCAGGGCUUAACCCUGGGCUGGCUUUCGAUACGGGCAGACUAGAGGUAUGCAGGGGAGAGCGGAAUUCCUGGUGUAGCGGUGAAAUGCGCAGAUAUCAGGAGGAACACCGGUGGCGAAGGCGGUUCUCUGGGCAUUACCUGACGCUGAGGAGCGAAAGUGUGGGGAGCGAACAGG